rnacentral:misc_RNA from 1 species
GAUGAAGAACGCAGCGAAAUGCGAUACGUAGUGUGAAUUGCAGAAUUCAGUGAAUCAUCGAAUCUUUGAACGCACAUUGCACCUCUCGGUAUUCCGGGAGGUAUGCCUGUUCGAGCGUCAUUUGUACCCUCAAGCUCUGCUUGGUGUUGGGUGUUUGUUCCGCCUCUGUGUGUGAACUCGCCUCAAAACAAUUGGCAGCCGGCGUACUUGUUUCGGAGCGCAGCACAUUUUGCGAUCCAGAUCAACGUACAGCGGCAUCCAAGAAGCCUUAUUUAACGCUCUUGACCUCGGAUCAGGUAGGGAUACCCGCUGAACUUAAGCAUAUCAAUAAGCGGUGGA